CUGCCAGCUCAUUCCACGGCUCCAAAAUGUGCCCUUUGGCCCGAGACGCCGAGACGCGCUGGCUCUUGUUGCGCAGAUCGCCGCAGGAGAGAAGACGGCUCGGUUGACACACUAACUCAUACGAUUCCUCUUCGACAGGGCGGCGGCUCAACACACGUUUGAAUUCCAUUUGGUGGAAUUGCGGGCAGAGAUUGGCGUGUUGAUAGGAUUGAUGCGACAGGAACAGGAAGGAUUUUGAUUUCUCUGCUCUGAUGUUUUUUUCCUAUUCAGGGAUUAGAGCCCGAGCGUUUAACACUUAUCCUCAUGAGGCGACAUGCGCGCUCCAACAACGCCCACAAUGACCCCGGACGCUACGUUCACACCAAAAGCAAAAGCCCAUUUUUCACGCGAGAAGAUUCCUUGCAGACACCCGACGCUGUCCUGCGAGAGCCAAUCAGCGCUGUGAUGCUCCGCGCCGUCAUCCCCACCGUGCGGCUGUUGAAUCAGAGACAAUGGUGGACACACACACACACCGCGUCCGCUUGAGGACGUGCCGAGCUCUACAACAUAUUUGCAAACUAAAUCACCGAGCUGUGUGACGGGUGAAGGCGUUUGAGGUCCCGACGUUGUUCUACAACAAGCACAGAGCAGAAAUGGUGGUUAUUUCCAUGGUGGACAGCGGAAAUUAUGACAUUGCCCCUUUUUCGGCACGAAUGAAGCGAAUAGUCGGGCGAGUAAACUCGCGAAUAAAGCAGGGGGCGAAUAUUGGCUUUAGGUUUUCAUCAAAAUAAAAUGAUAUAUGCAUCAAUCUUUUUUGGCAAACCUUUCAUAUGUCCUUUGAUGUGUGACCCUCCCCAUUCCUCUGCCAUAUACAUCUUUAGGUUUAGGAAUCCCAACCUGCAGGAGGGUUUGUUAAAAUUGUGCCGUCAAAUUUUCCCCUUUCCAGCAUAUGCAGGUUUUUUUGCAAUUCAACAUCCAGGGGGAUUGUGUGGCAGGACCCGGUGUGACGGGUCACACUGAACAGGUCAAUGCACAUCACCUGGUACCGCUGCCACUGAUCAAUGUGUGACUUUGGUUAAACGGGCUUUGUGAUAGCAAAUAGCAAUUGAAUUUCUGGAGGUCCAAACAUCCCAGCAACUUGCUGACUGGUUUAAAAGGAGAAGUGAGGAUCUAAAGAUGACUUUUGUUGAAGACGAGGUCAAGCUUUAAUCCAACAAGCGGACUAAAGUUUCCCUGUAGCGCCCCGGGCCUCCUACCGCCAUUCAACGCAAAGCAGAAUAAGCAGUAAUUGUGAACUUGUUGGUUUUGCUUAGAGCGGACACGCGCUAAUGAAUCGGAUAUGCAGCUGCGGAGGCAAUCAAUGAGGAUAUCCCCCACUGAUACGGUGCCAAAACCCACGACGCCUCCGGCAGAGAGCGGAGCUGCUCAACGGGCCACAAAAUCACGACGCAUCAGUUUUGCGGAGCGGCGUCGGCUGCGCCCGGACGGUGUUUCCAUAAGAACAUUGAGUCAAACUGAAAUUAUAAAAUAGUUCUUGGGCUGUGAAUCCAGCCACGGGUGACUUAAUCUGUCGGGCCGACGCCUCGUUCGCCGCAGGCCAUGGUUGUGUGAUUUUAAUUUUUUGCUAAUUAGGGCGGGAGGAAUCACAUUACGUCCACGCAGCGUUUCCAUCGCAUUCAAUCAGCGGGGGCAGCCAACGCUGCGAUGGGAUUAUAACCUCUAGUUACAACAUUUAAUACAGCAUGAUAUAAUCCACCACAGUCCAACAAACGCACUCCUGUCGGCAAACUAUCAAACUAAUUGCGAAAGCCAUUUGGAAACGAAGAAGCAGCUUCUGCGUCUCUGCCGUGGCCUUCUACUAUACAGGCCACCGGGUCAUCAGGUCACGAUGGUAAUCCGUUUGUUGCGGAUGAUCAAUAGGCCGCAGACUGAACGCGCCGUCAAUAAAAGGGGCACUGCGUUGCCGCGGUGACGUCAACAGUAAGAUAUGGACCCAGCAGCUGGCUUUUAGGAUUUGGAGGGAGCAAAUACAUUUAAAAGAUCAAACUAGACUUUAAUAUAAUAUUUUCAUACUGAAAUUAUAAUGCCGAUGGAUGUGGCUGAACGUUCUUAUUCAUUUAUUAAAUAAAUCUGAAGCAUCGGACACAAGUUCGGUGUGACGAAGAUGAAAAGCUCUCAGUGUAGUUGUCACAGAUGGAAUAUGAAAUAGGAUCUGAUAUAUGAGAGUGAUUUUAAAACCUUUCAGCAGUAACAAAAAGACAUCCGUUGUUGUGAGGAGCGGAUGAGUGCUCGUGUGGCCGCUGUGGUAUUUGGUCGUUUCUGGCUGAGAAGUGUGCAGCCGUGUUAUUUCCACCUCAGCCUACCUUCAACCUGAGCAGAGGUCUCAUCAGCCCACUGAAACCCCAAAAUCUUUGCGGGUGUGCAGUGUGUACAGAAUGAGACGACAACAGGCAACGUGCAGGUGACCGAAGCUCACGGCGGUUAAACGCGCGAUGACGAUGACGAUCCGUCUCCAGCUGCUCCAGUGGAAACGAUGUCUGAUGUGUUUCUGUAAAACGCAGCAGCAGUGUUCAACACGUCGGCCUCUGUAAACCACCAACACAACCCCGACCUGCUCUUUUACUGCGCACAACAACGCUGAGCGGGGAGGCGCAGCUAAUUUUUAAAUCGUAUUCCAGAUCAUUAUGACGACAUUUUGAUUUAACUUCAGCAGUGCCCUGUUUGGAUUUGGACUCUACGCAGUUUCCAUACGUCUGAAGUCUUGUUUGGCUUUUCUGCGUUCACGCGGCGGCCUUCAGUCCCAGUCACAGUAAAAAGGUGGUUGGUCCUUUGUGGGCUGCCGCGGUUACAUGGGUUAGUCACCUGGUUGACUACACAAGGAGGACCGGAUCACUCCCAGCUAAGGAGAACCAAAUUCUUAGUUUCAGGUGAUUCUAAUGACGGCAAAGAGGAGUUAGACGCAAGUCGUAUUUCCAACAUAUUGAUGUGUAUAUAAUGUUGGAACCGGUUGUGUUAUCUGCAGGUUUCCAGGACGCGGCUGUGUGGAACGCUAACGGCUCACAGAUCCUGAAGCGCAGAUAAGAACAAAUUCAUUCGUUUUUUGUUACAUCAUUUACAGGAUUUCUUUGUUUACAAAAAUAUAUAUAUAUAUAUAUUGCUUUAUAAUUUUAACAGUAUUUGUAUUAGUUAUUUGUUUCAUUCAUGCGGUUGGUCACUGUGAUCUCUGUAGGUGGCUUUUACAGGGCUGCUAGAGCUAUAUGAACACACACACACACACACACACACACACACACACACACACACACACACACACACACAAACACAAACACACACACACACACAAACAACCACCCCCCUUCCAAGAGUGCUACAUAACCCUGGAAACAGAGGCCUGGUUCAUUUGCAGCCAGAUUAAAGGCUGCGUGGGAGCGAGUGGAAAAGAUUAUUCCUAGUAAGCAAGAAAAAGCAAAAACCCUUAAGCUCUUCAUUAAUAACAUGAAGAGAGCAUUAUUUACGAAAGCUGCCUCGAGGCUCAUUGGGACAGAAGUCUAGUAUGUUGGAAGCCACAACGUCACGACGUCCACGCCGAGACGGACCCCCGGCAGGCCGCGCACACACACUCCAGACUGGAUCCCCGGCACGCCGCGCACACACACUCCAGACUGGAUCCCGGCACGCCGCGCACACACACUCCAGACUGGAUCCCCGGCACGCCGCGCACACACACUCCAGACUGGAUCCCGGCACGCCGCGCACACACACUCCAGACUGGAUCAGAAUUACAGCACAGUGAACGAGGAACGGAACCAAGAGUUUGCAUCGGCUUAAGGAAUGUCUAAAUGAAAGCCUCGUAAAUCCAACCCACUGGGAGCCGCGGUGCAGCCUGUAUACGGCGAGCGGCAACCCGGGUUGCCAGGAAACGCCGCGGGCUCACGCUCGCACACAAACGGGAGCCCGAGUGCCCUCAGUGGACCAGGAGAAAAAAAGCAUUGUGUCAACGCAAGGACGGCAGAGCCCCGUGACCUCUGACCCCAGUGGGAGUGAGAGCCACCCGGAAAUGUUACAGGAUAUGCAAGUUGUUAAAAACAGUGUCCGUAUGUCCGUCUG
ensembl:lncRNA